UGGCUGGGAAAACUUCAUGGCCCAAGGUGGCCGCCAGGACUGGCCGGACCUGCCCUUCGCUUGCUAUCCAGAGGAGUUGCUGGACCUACCCCGCGCUCGCUACCCGGAGGAGUUGCCAGGCCUGCCGCUUGCCCACUACCCAGAGGAACCCAUGGUGCUGGACCCCGCAGAGGACAACACCCUGACCCAGGACCAGCAUUCUUCAGCCAUCUCUGCAACUGCACCUCCAAGCCAAUUUGUCUACCCAGCAAAUGUCUUCUAUCUCCCCUUUUGGCAUGCAGCUACAACUUCUCUCCUAAGGGAACAGCUACAGCAGUGAUUUGAGAUUUGGUUAGAGAAAAGGGUGACUAUGUGAUAGGUCAAAGAAAUCCAUCUGUCGGGGCUAUACUGUUGUUUUCUGACCUUGGCCACCUAACUCAGGAAGAGAUGACAACAUCUGCCUAUAAUCAUAGCCUUUAAAGGUGAAAAAGAUGAACCCAUCCUUGUACAGCUUGCAAAAUCCAGGGUGGAAACAGCAGAAAUGAGCACAUCUUUGUGGGGGAGUAAAGUCAAGUGAUAUUCAAACUGCUAGAUGAAAUGGACAAGGAUGCAUGAACAGUACUGCAGGGCACAGAAGUGAAGCUUAAUUGAACAUUUGGAGCACGGAUCACAUUAAUUCCCCUGCUUUUUCUUUUUUUCUACUGGUUAUUAUCCAUUUAAUUAGCAUCAACUAGUUUCGUAAUUUCAUGUGGUAUCCCUGUUUUGUUUUCACUUCUCUC